rnacentral:rRNA from 1 species
GCAAUGCCGCGUGAGUGAAGAAGGCCUUCGGGUUGUAAAGCUCUUUUGUCAGGGAAGAAAAGGGACUGGCUAAUAUCUGGUCCUCAUGACGGUACCUGAAGAAUAAGCACCGGCUAACUACGUGCCAGCAGCCGCGGUAAUACGUAGGGUGCAAGCGUUAAUCGGAAUUACUGGGCGUAAAGCGUGCGCAGGCGGUUUUGUAAGACUGUCGUGAAAUCCCCGGGCUCAACCUGGGAAUGGCGAUGGUGACUGCAAGGCUAGAGUUUGGCAGAGGGGGGUAGAAUUCCACGUGUAGCAGUGAAAUGCGUAGAUAUGUGGAGGAACACCGAUGGCGAAGGCAGCCCCCUGGGUCAAAACUGACGCUCAUGCACGAAAGCGUGGGGAGCAAACAGGAUUAGAUACCCUGGUAGUCCACGCCCUAAACGAUGUCUACUAGUUGUCGGGUCUUAAUUGACUUGGUAACGCAGCUAACGCGUGAAGUAGACCGCCUGGGGAGUACGGUCGCAAGAUUAAAACUCAAAGGAAUUGACGGGGACCCGCACAAGCGGUGGAUGAUGUGGAUUAAUUCGAUGCAACGCGAAAAACCUUACCUACCCUUGACAUGGCUGGAAUCCCGGAGAGAU